rnacentral:rRNA from 1 species
GUAGGGAAUAUUGCGCAAUGGGGGAAACCCUGACGCAGCAACGCCGCGUGAGUGAGGAAGGUCUUCGGAUUGUAAAACUCUUUUAUUAGGGAAAAAUGUCUAGGUGGCUAAUAUCCACUUAGAGUGAUGGUACCUAAGGAAUAAGCACCGGCUAACUUCGUGCCAGCAGCCGCGGUAAUACGAAGGGUGCAAGCGUUGUUCGGAAUCAUUGGGCGUAAAGCGCGCGCAGGCGGGUCAGUAAGUCAGGUGUGAAAUCUCGGAGCUCAACUCCGAAACUGCGCCUGAAACUAUUGGUCUAGAGUAUCGGAGGGGACAGGGGAAUUUCACGUGUAGGGGUAAAAUCCGUAGAGAUGUGAAGGAACACCGGAGGCGAAGGCGCCUGUCUGGACGAUUACUGACGCUGAGGCGCGAAAGCGUGGGGAGCAAACAGGAUUAGAAACCCCGGUAGUCC